UACGUAGGGUGCAAGCGUUAAUCGGAAUUACUGGGCGUAAAGCGUGCGCAGGCGGCUUUGCAAGACAGAUGUGAAAUCCCCGGGCUUAACCUGGGAACUGCAUUUGUGACUGCAUGGCUGGAGUGCGGCAGAGGGGGAUGGAAUUCCGCGUGUAGCAGUGAAAUGCGUAGAUAUGCGGAGGAACACCGAUGGCGAAGGCAAUCCCCUGGGCCUGCACUGACGCUCAUGCACGAAAGCGUGGGGAGCGAACAG
rnacentral:rRNA from 1 species